GUCUAUUAAAAAUACACAUAUUGUACUGUAGCUUAGAAGCUGCAUUGCGUGCAUGCAAUAUUACCAUCCAAAUAUAAGUCACAUACAAUUAAAAUAAGUACAAAUUAGGAAAAAGUGUUAUAAUAGUAUAGAACUAUUUACAAUUUAGACGAAAGAAUAAAAGUGUUUAAAAGUCGACUGUUUGUGUUCACGGUGUAAUCAACAAAACACGACACUGUCACUGUCUUAAGUAAUAAUGUGCCUCCUGUUUUGGUGGCAAAAGAUGAGCCAAACGUUCCCGACCACCGAAGUUAUUAUGCAGUUUUGUUGAUUGCAGUUCGACUUUGGAAACAUUAUUAAAAAUCGGUUUCAUGUCAAACACCUCAACGGCCAAAAAAUGAUAUAAUUUCUCUAUACUACAGAUUUUCAGGACAUAAUACUUUUAUACCAAAUACCCAGAAAGAUAGAAACAAGCAAGAUAAUUACCGGAAGAAGUCUAAAAAUGUACGUUUUUAGUAUUCCUCUAUCACAUUGUUGCUUUAUCCUCUCGGCUUCUUUUACCCAAAUAUGAGUUGGAGGUAGAACACCUGACUUCCAACGGGCCAGAACCUCCUGGAUAAUAGCUCUUGAUUCUUGAUAUUUCUUCUGUUGCAGAUAAACAACGGAUAACAAAAAUCUUGCACCGUCACAGUUUUCUAUCUCAAUGCUUCUCUUGAUAGCGUUCUCAGCAUCAUCAGCUUUACGAAGAGCCAAUAAUAUUUCAGUCUUGCAACGCAGAGCAUAACUUAACUGGACAUGUUCCACACUCUGAAAGAUUUCCUCCGCCCGUUUCACAAGUUCAAGCGCACGAUCAUGGUCAUUUAGUUCUUUGUACACAAGGGCAUAAGUCAUACACACACCUGCUACAUAAAUAUGAUUUUUUCCCAAAACAUUUUCGUAAAUGGUUAAUGCAUUAGCGUGAAAUUUCAAUGAUUCAUUCAGCAGGUCAUUCUUUUCUUCCGGGUUGGCAAUCAUUUCCGCAUAACGUAAGUAAAUUUUGCCCGAGAAAUUGGUUGCUUGUGCUCUUGUUAAGUGCCGCUCGUAUGUCGUGAUCUUAGUCAUUUGACGUGCCUGGUCUACUGUCUCUUUAGCUUUGGAUAUGUCUUGCUUGUCGCGGUAUAUUAUUGCCAAAUUGCAAAGCCUCGCUAUAACCUCUUGAUGAUCGUCCCCGAAAGAUUUUUCAGCAAGAUGGAUCGACUCCUUCAUAGUCUGCUCUGCGAGGUCGAAUUUGGUCUGUAAUUUAUACGUCCAAGAGAGAACAUUCAGUAUGGAAGAUUUCAGUGCUUUCCAUUUUUCGCUAUCGUCACCAUGCGUCAAGCGCAGACCUUCUAACACAGCCACAGCUUCUUCUAACACAGCCACAGCUUCUUCAAAGCGAUUUGCUUCUCGGUAGUAAAAACCAAGGGUUUUAAGUACAUGGCAGUAUCGAAUACUUUUCAUAGGUUUGGGGAGACGACGCACAAUUUCAUGAGCAAGUUCACAAUAUGAGAUGCGUUCAGCUUCGGUAACACCAGGAACGUGAUAAAGACAAUCUGCAAGAAAAGCUAAGAUAACAACAAAUUCUUCACAAUCUGUCCAUUGUUUAACUUUGCCAAAAUUAAUAAUCGACUUCAAAUGUGGACUUGCUAACACCUUAAUGGAGACGCUACUUCGAUCGUAAUCGGGAAUCGCUUUUUCCAAACUCUCUCGUGAGGAAUGUAGCAAAGUGGCGUAUUCCUUUCUCCUUUCCUCAGUAUCCAAUUUUUGCGCAGCAGCACGUUCCUCUCUUACGCCUACGAAUGCCUCUCCCAUUACUUGAUGGAAUGCAAUAUUUUCCACUGUUUCAAAUGAGGAGGACGAAUCUGACAGUAAAGAACAGCGUGAAAUUUCAGCCAUGAUCUCAUCAAUUAUUGCAUCACACGAAAGCGAGGCUUGGACAAAGUUUGAAACAAUGACUAAAGGUACCGGGCUUAUGGUGCAAUAUGACAGGAAGUCAAAUGCAUGACGAAGGACAUUGCUAUAUUCGGCUAGGCGGUUUGUAGCCAGUCGUGCAGCAAUAACCAUCGAAUGGGGAUAGAUGUUGUCUUCAAAAGCUCGAAAUGUCAGCUUCCCUUUGUGUUUCCGAUACAAUUCGAGAAAGUUUUUCCACGAGAAAUUACUAGAUGGACGAUCUCUAAUCAUCUGACUAACAUAGGUCGCUGAGCACGCAAUAGAUAGUGGGAAAUAAUCUAGUUCUCUUGCUAAACAUACAGCGAAUUCAUCAGCUUUAAGACCACUGAUUUCCUCAAGCAAAUUUACUGCAUCUUUUUCUUCCAAUCCAUGCUUCAAAGUGUACGGUUUAGCGUAUUCAUGACAGACUGGAGCAACAUCUCUAUUUUGGGAGGUUAUGAUAAUUUUGCCAUCUCCCCAAUUUUCACAACCGGGUUGCGGUAGUAUUCCUUUAAAAUCUUUAUCACAAAACAUGUUAUCGAAAAUGAGAAGCCACUUUCCAGGGUAUUUAAUUAGAAUAUUUCGUAAUGUCUCCAUAUACAAUUGCACGACUUUAAUCUCGUCGCUUUCUUUGGUAUUAUCUGCCUUAACCAGGUUUAACUGAUGUAACACGUCUUUUGUAGAUUUUAAUAACGAUUUAAUUGACUGAACAUCGAUUGUCAACACUACUGGACGAUUGUCAAUGUCAUUUGGUGUGUCUUUUAGAAAAUUUUCCCCGAAUUGUCGCGCCAACUGCGUUUUGCCUGAACCAGGAGGGCCAGUUAAGUAAAGACUUGUCAAAUGCGCCUCGUUUUCACUGUUCAUGCUUUCGUAUAUGGACCACAUUUUUUCAACUUCACGACUUCGUUCGAAACAUUUGUGAAAGGGUUUUCCUGGAAGUGUUGACAGUGUUGGCAAAAUC